rnacentral:rRNA from 1 species
UGGGGAAUUUUGCACAAUGGGGGAAACCCUGAUGCAGCGACGCCGCGUGAUUUAGAAGGCCUUCGGGUUGUAAAAAUCUUUUCUAUGGGAAGAAAAUGACAGUACCAUAGGAAUAAGGACCGGCUAAUUACGUGCCAGCAGCCGCGGUAAUACGUAAGGUCCAAGCGUUGUCCGGAAUCAUUGGGCGUAAAGGGUACGUAGGCGGGUAAGCAAGUUAGAAGUGAAAUCCUAUAGCUCAACUAUAGUAAGCUUUUAAAACUGCUCAUCUUGAGGGAUGGAAGGGAAAGUGGAAUUCCUAGUGUAGCGGUGAAAUGCGCAGAUAUUAGGAGGAAUACCGGUGGCGAAGGCGACUUUCUGGCCAUAACCUGACGCUGAGGUACGAAAGCGUGGGUAGCAAACAGG